AUCCAGCUGACGAGCACCGAACAGGAUGAAACGCGCGUCCUGUAU
rnacentral:hammerhead_ribozyme from 1 species